GAGGAAUAUUGGUCAAUGGGCGCGAGCCUGAACCAGCCAAGUAGCGUGAAGGAUGACUGCCCUAUGGGUUGUAAACUUCUUUUAUAAGGGAAUAAAGUGAGGCACGUGUGCCUUAUUGUAUGUACCUUAGGAAUAAGCAUCGGCUAACUCCGUGCCAGCAGCCGCGGUAAUACGGAGGAUGCAAGCGUUAUCCGGAUUUAUUGGGUUUAAAGGGUGCGUAGGCGGCACUUUAAGUCAGGGGUGAAAGACGGCAGCUUAACUGUCGCAGUGCCUUUGAUACUGAAGUGCUUGAAUGCGGUUGAAGACGGCGGAAUGAGACAAGUAGCGGUGAAAUGCAUAGAUAUGUCUCAGAACACCGAUUGCGAAGGCAGCUGUCUAAGCCGUUAUUGACGCUGAUGCACGAAAGCGUGGGGAUCGAACA
rnacentral:rRNA from 1 species